GUAAGAGGAACAUCGACUAAGACCUGCCACAUCGUGUGGCAGGUCUUAGUCGAUGCCAGCCCAUCCUGGGCA
rnacentral:sRNA from 1 species